UUCGUGAGGUUGAACUGGAAUCUCCUUUCUUGUAACUUGAAGCCAUUGGUUCCAGCCCUGCCGUCCAGAGCAGGAAAAAACAAGCUUGCUCCAUCUUCCAUGUGACAGCCCUUGAAAUAUUUGAAGAUGGCUAUCAUAUCUCCUCUCAAGCUCCUCUUUUCCAGGCAAAACAUACCCAGCUCCUUCAAA